UUAAGCCCCGCAACGAGCGCAACCCUUGUCCUUAGUUGCCAGCAUUCAGUUGGGCACGUCUAAGGAGACUGCCGGUGUCAAACCGGAGGAAGUGGGGAUGACGUCAAGUCCUCAUGGCCCUUAUGUCCAGGGCUACACACGUGCUACAAUGGCCGGUACAAAGGGGCGCAAGACCGCGAGGUGGAGCAAAUCCCAAAAACCGGUCUCAGUUCGGAUUGGAGUCUGCAACUCGACUCCAUGAAGUUGGAAUCGCUAGUAAUCGCGUAUCAGCAUGACGCGGUGAAUACGUUCCCGGGCCCUU
rnacentral:rRNA from 1 species